UCAGACGAGAUAUGAUAAAC
rnacentral:rRNA from 1 species